UACGGGGGGUGCGAGCGUUGUCCGGAAUUAUUGGGCGUAAAGAGCUUGUAGGCGGUUUGUCGCGUCUGCUGUGAAAAUCCGGGGCUCAACCCCGGACUUGCAGUGGGUACGGGCAGUCUAGAGUGUGGUAGGGGAGACUGGAAUUCCUGGUGUAGCGGUGAAAUGCGCAGAUAUCAGGAGGAACACCGGUGGCGAAGGCGGGUCUCUGGGCCGAAACUGACGCUGAGGAGCGAAAGCGUGGGGAGCGAACAGG
rnacentral:rRNA from 1 species